UGCGUAUGAUAUCAGUAUCCUGUACGGCAAGAUAUAUAUGUUCCAUCCUAGUUGAACAUUUCCUUUUCUACUCUAAGCAUCUAUAGAAAUAUAGAUAAAUGUGGUAUGAUGCAUGAGACUAGUUAUUGUCUAUAAGGACACAUCAACUGUUCUUGUGGUAUGGUAUAUAUGUAUGAGACUUGUUAGGUUUUAGGCGGAGAUUUCUACUUGUUCUAUGUGGUAUGGUUCUUGAGACUUUUAUGUACUUAAAGACAUUUACAUUUGUAUGUGGUAUGGUAUAUAAGAAUUGGUAGCAUUUAUUAGGAGACAUCUAUUGUGGUAGGGUACAGGAGACUUGUUAAUGUGCUUUAGAAGACAUCUACUGUUUUAUUGGUAUGGUAUAUUAGACUUUUCAGUGUUCAAGGAGACUUCUAUUGUUCUGAAAGUUAUAGGUAUAAAUGGUAAUUUAAAUAAAAUUAAAUUAUAGUUUAUACAUAUUUUGAUAAUUCCCAUGAUUAAACUUCCGCUGGUUUGUUUUCUUUAAUGUUAAGGUCAGCUUGUUAGCUUGUCAGCUUGUCAGUUCUGUUUUAAUUAGAGAUUAAGGGAUAGGUAUUAUAUCAUAAAUGGGAAACAGCUUGAUGACAGCAUAGGUGUUAUCAGACAUGUAUGAGAAUCAUCUAUAUAAUUUUGAUAGGAUGGCAGUUGUCGUUUGAGCAUUGCACUGUUAGCAGUCAUAUUUUUACUUGUGGAUAAUUUAUUCAGCCCACCCACCGAAUCCCCAGCUGCACCUUUAAGAAUUUAAUAGUCUUAUUUUAGUGUUAAUUAUUUUACAUGUUUAUUUAAACAGGGGCUACUCAUAACAUAUUUGUUUUUUGUUUGUUUUAGUUUUAUGUUGUGUGUGUUGUUCUGUCAUUUAAUUUAGCCUACUUAAUUUCAGGGAAAUUAUUUUCCCCCAAUUCAUUAAUACAUUUUAUUAUUUAUUUAGGCUUUGUUUUAUUUAAGGGUGAUAAUUAAGUUAUUUUUUUUGUACCUGUUGGAAUCUACCGCAGGAAUUCUCAUUUUUCAAAUUUAUACUUGUCUGGGCUCUACCAGUCAGGUUCUAAUAGUACCUGUUGGGAUCUACCGCAGGAAUUCUCAGUUUUCAAAAUUCAUACUUGUCUGGGCUCUACCACUCAGGUUCUAAAAGUACCUGUUGGGAUCUACCGCAGGAAUUCUCAGUUUUCAAAAUUCAUACUUGUCUGGGCUCUACCACUCAGGUUCUAAAAGUACCUGUUGGGAUCUACCGCAGGAAUUCUCAGUUUUCAAAAUUCAUACUUGUGUGGGCUCUACCACUCAGGUUCUAAAAGUACCUGCUGGGAUCUACCGCAGACAUUCUCAUUUUUCAAAUUUAUACCUGUUUGGGCUCUACCAGUCAGGUUUCUUAAAUUAAUUUUUCACCUGUCAGGGCUCUACUGCAGGUUCUUAAAUUGCAUAAUUUAGACAAUUUACUUUUUAAUUUAAUUUAAAAAUAGUUUUGAGUAGGUAGUGUUUUUUCAUAUGGUUAUUUUUAUUUUUAUUGUAAGUUUUAACGAGUAGCCCC
rnacentral:lncRNA from 1 species